CCUACGGGGGGCCGCAGUGAGGAAUAUUGGUCAAUGGACGAGAGUCUGAACCAGCCAAGUAGCGUGAAGGAUGACUGCCCUAUGGGUUGUAAACUUCUUUCAUAUGGGAAUAAAAUGUUCCACGUGUGGGAUUUUGUAUGUACCAUAUGAAUAAGGAUCGGCUAACUCCGUGCCAGCAGCCGCGGUAAUACGGAGGAUCCGAGCGUUAUCCGGAUUUAUUGGGUUUAAAGGGAGCGUAGGUGGAUUGUUAAGUCAGUUGUGAAAGUUUGCGGCUCAACCGUAAAAUUGCAGUUGAAACUGGCAGUCUUGAGUACAGUAGAGGUGGGCGGAAUUCGUGGUGUAGCGGUGAAAUGCUUAGAUAUCACGAAGAACUCCGAUUGCGAAGGCAGUUCACUGGACUGCAACUGACACUGAGGCUCGAAAGUGUGGGUAUCAAACAGGAUUAGAUACCCUUGUAGUC
rnacentral:rRNA from 1 species